GACGAACGCUGGCGGCGUGCUUAACACAUGCAAGUCGAACGGUAAGGCCCUUCGGGGUACACGAGUGGCGAACGGGUGAGUAACACGUGGGUGAUCUGCCCUGCACUUCGGGAUAAGCCUGGGAAACUGGGUCUAAUACCGGAUAGGACCACUGCCUGCAUGGGUGGUGGUGGAAAGCUUUUGCGGUGUGGGAUGGGCCCGCGGCCUAUCAGCUUGUUGGUGGGGUGAUGGCCUACCAAGGCGACUACGGGUAGCCGGCCUGAGAGGGUGACCGGCCACACUGGGACUGGGAUACGGCCCAGACUCCUACGGGAGGCAGCAGUGGGGAAUAUUGCACAAUGGGCGCAAGCCUGAUGCAGCGACGCCGCGUGAGGGACGACGGCCUUCGGGUUGUAAACCUCUUUCAGCACCGACGAAGCGCAAGUGACGGUAGGUGCAGAAGAAGGACCGGCCAACUACGUGCCAGCCGCCGCAGUAA
rnacentral:rRNA from 1 species